UUGUUCUAAGAUAACAAACGUGAUUGGUGUACUCAAUAUUUCUCUUAGCUCUAUCACCCUAUUCGCCCCUACAACGUCUGACGAUGAUGUUAAUAACUGUGGCUCCUCCAACACAUUUAUUAUGAUAGUACGUGGAUGGAACACCUUGUGUUAGGAAGACACAUUGAGAGAUAAGCUCGAAGAAGCUUUAAUAGUUUUCCAUAAAAUUUCUCCCUUGAAAUCGGAAUGGACAACUAUUUUAUAGCAAAAAUUUUAAUGAACCAAGUCAGUUAGUUUUUAAUUGUGUCAAUUUCCACAAGUAUAAAUAAAAUGCGAAUUUGAAAGUUUCA